ACUCAAAUGAAUAGACGGGGACCCGCACAAGCGGUGGAGCAUGUGGAUUAAUUCGAUACUAACCGAAGAACCUUACCCAGGUUUGACAUCGAUCGUAAAGCGUAGAAAUACGCUCCUCUCCCACAAGGAGACGUGAAGACACUUGUUGCAUGGCUGUCGUCAGCUCGUGCCGUGAGGUGUACGGUUAAGUCCGCCAACGAGCGCAACCCUCGUCCUGUGUUACCAGCAUGAAAGAUGGGGACUCACAGGAGACCGCCGGUGUAAGCCGGAGGAAGGUGGGGAUGAUGUCAAGUCAGCAUGGCAGUUACAUCUGGGGCUUCACACAUGCUACAAUGGGCGAAACAAAGGGACGCGAUACCGCGAGGUGGAGCUAAUCCCAAAAAUACGCCCCCAGUUCAGAUUGCAGUCUGCAACUCGACUGCAUGAAGGCGGAAUCGCUAGUAAACGCAGGUCAGCUAUACUGCGUUGAAUACGUUCCCGGGUCUUGCACACACCGCCCGU
rnacentral:rRNA from 1 species